AGUGAACGCUGGCGGUAGGCCUAACACAUGCAAGUCGAACGGCAGCACAGUAAGAGCUUGCUCUUACGGGUGGCGAGUGGCGGACGGGUGAGGAAUACAUCGGAAUCUACUUUUUCGUGGGGGAUAACGUAGGGAAACUUACGCUAAUACCGCAUACGACCUACGGGUGAAAGCAGGGGAUCUUCGGACCUUGCGCGAUUGAAUGAGCCGAUGUCGGAUUAGCUAGUUGGCGGGGUAAAGGCCCACCAAGGCGACGAUCCGUAGCUGGUCUGAGAGGAUGAUCGGCCACACUGGAACUGAGACACGGUCCAGACUCCUACGGGAGGCAGCAGUGGGGAAUAUUGGACAAUGGGCGCAAGCCUGAUCCAGCCAUACCGCGUGGGUGAAGAAGGCCUUCGGGUUGUAAAACCCUUUUGUUGGGAAAGAAAAGCAGCAGGUUAAUACCCCGCUGUUCUGACGGUACCCAAAGAAUAAGCACCGGCUAACUUCGUG
rnacentral:rRNA from 1 species